rnacentral:rRNA from 1 species
GAUGAACGCUAGCGGCAGGCUUAAUACAUGCAAGUCGUGGGGCAGCAUGAGUAGCAAUACUUGAUGGCGACCGGCAAACGGGUGAGGAACACGUACACAACCUUCCUUCAAGCGGGGAAUAGCCCAGAGAAAUUUGGAUUAAUACCCCAUAAUAUAUUUGAUAAGGCAUCUUAUUAAAUAUUAAAGCUUCGGCACUUGAUGAUGGGUGUGCGGCUGAUUAGAUAGUUGGCGGGGUAACGGCCCACCAAGUCUACGAUCAGUAGCUGAUGUGAGAGCAUGAUCAGCCACACGGGCACUGAGACACGGGCCCGACUCCUACGGGAGGCAGCAGUAAGGAAUAUUGGACAAUGGACGAAAGUCUGAUCCAGCCAUGCCGCGUGAAGGAUUAAGGUCCUCUGGAUUGUAAACUUCUUUUAUAUGGGACGAAAAAGGGCAUUCUUGUUCACUUGACGGUACCAUAUGAAUAAGCACCGGCUAACUCCGU